UACGUAGGGUGCAAGCGUUGUCCGGAAUUAUUGGGCGUAAAGAGCUUGUAGGCGGUUUGUCGCGUCUGCUGUGAAAUUUCGGGGCUCAACCCCGAACUUGCAGUGGGUACGGGGCAGACUAGAGUGUGGUAGGGGGAGACUGGAAUUCCUGGUGUAGCGGUGAAAUGCGCAGAUAUCAGGAGGAACACCGAUGGCGAAGGCAGGUCUCUGGGGCAUUAACUGACGCUGAGGAGCGAAAAGUGUGGGGGGAGCGAACAGGG
rnacentral:rRNA from 1 species